rnacentral:rRNA from 1 species
AUGAAGGCCUUCUGGGUUGUAAACUUCUUUUAUGUGGGAAGAAACCACUUUUUCUAAGAGUGUUGACGGUACCAUAGGAAUAAGCACCGGCUAACUCCGUGC